rnacentral:rRNA from 1 species
CCGCGAGGUGGAGCAAAUCUCAAAAAAACAAUCUCAGUUCAGACUGCAGGCUGCAACUCGCCUGCACGAAGUCGGAAUUGCUAGUAAUCGUAGGUCAGCAUACUACGGUGAAUACGUUCCCGGGCCUUGUACACACCGCCCGUCAAACCAUGAGAGUUGGCAACACCCGAAGUCGGUAGUCUAACCGCAAGGAGGACGCCGCCGAAGGUGGGGUUGAUGAUUAGGGUUAAGUCGUAACAAGGUAAC